rnacentral:rRNA from 1 species
UACGGAGGGGGCUAGCGUUGUUCGGAAUUACUGGGCGUAAAGAGCUCGUAGGCGGUUGGGUAAGUCGGGUGUGAAAACUCUGGGCUCAACUCAGAGACGCCACCCGAUACUGCUCUGACUUGAGUCCGGUAGGGGAGUGGGGAAUUCCUGGUGUAGCGGUGAAAUGCGCAGAUAUCAGGAGGAACACCGGUGGCGAAGGCGCCACUCUGGGCCGGAACUGACGCUGAGGAGCGAAAGCGUGGGUAGCAAACAGG